rnacentral:rRNA from 1 species
AGCAGUCGCCGCGGGAAUACGAAGGGUGCAAGCGUUAAUCGGAAUUACUGGGCGUAAAGCGUGCGUAGGCGGUUUCUUAAGUCUGAUGUGAAAGCCCCCGGCUCAACCGGGGAGGGUCAUUGGAAACUGGGAAACUUGAGUGCAGAAGAGGAGAGUGGAAUUCCACGUGUAGCGGUGAAAUGCGUAGAGAUGUGGAGGAACACCAGUGGCGAAGGCGACUCUCUGGUCUGUAACUGACGCUGAGGAGCGAAAGCGUGGGGAGCGAACAGGAUUAGAUACCCCGGUAGUCCCUGUCUCUUAUAA